rnacentral:rRNA from 1 species
UCUUCGAGAUGAAUGUUCCCUUGAGGGUCGUGGGAGACUACCACGUUGAUAGGCAGGAUGUGUACGGUCGGUGACGGCCUCAGCAGACCUGUACUAAUUGCCCGAAAGACUUUCGCUG